GUGUUCCUGAUCUGACCUAGCGGGGAUCCUGAGGAAUGAAAUAAUGCCUGGUAGUCAGCAGAGUCAGCGUGUGUGCACAAAGGGGUUCCUCGCUAUUGAGGGAUAGGAGUGUGCAUGUCACACGACUUGCCAGUGAAAGAAGAGCUUGUAUCUGCCUGACUGCUUUCAGAUCAAAUCAUCUUUGCCAGCCAAAGCAGACUCUUCUUGCCUGCUUCCAAGAGGCACGAGCUUAAACAACUGGUCUCAGAGUGGGGUGUCUCUACAGUCUUAGCCAUGAAGAGAGGAGAUGAAAUGUUCUCCUGUUCAGUGUAUAUGGAAGAGACUGGAGUAAGCUCCUAUCUUCGUAACAGUAAAACUACAGUGAAAUCUGAAUUCUUUGUUCAUGUUUCAUUGCCUGCUUUGAGGAAAACAGUGAUCAUGAGAUCAGACAUCAGC